rnacentral:rRNA from 1 species
UACGGGGGGUGCGAGCGUUGUCCGGAAUCACUGGGCGUAAAGGGCGCGUAGGCGGUUUGGACAGUCAGAUGUGAAAUUCCUGGGCUCAACCUGGGGGCUGCAUUUGAUACGUUCGGACUAGAGUGGGGAAGAGGGUCGUGGAAUUCCCAGUGUAGAGGUGAAAUUCGUAGAUAUUGGGAAGAACACCGGUGGCGAAGGCGGCGACCUGGUCCUUGACUGACGCUGAGGCGCGAAAGCGUGGGGAGCAAACAGG